rnacentral:lncRNA from 1 species
AAAAUCAAAAGAAAAAUAAAAAUAAAAAGAUAAAAGUAAGAUGUCAAAAACAUGACAUUUAAAAAAAAAGAGAAAGAAGAAAGAAAAUAAUAUGACCAAAAUUAAGAAAACUCUCUAGUACCCAAUACUAAAGAACGAGUGAUAUGAAAGGAAGAAUGUAACAUAAGGAGAAAUAUGUACUUAACUCCAAGGUUUAAGCUUAAUAUCCCAAAAUUAUCCUACCCAGACAUAAG